rnacentral:rRNA from 1 species
AUUGAACGCUGGCGGCAGGCUUAACACAUGCAAGUCGAGCGGAGAUGAGGUGCUUGCACCUUAUCUUAGCGGCGGACGGGUGAGUAAUGCUUAGGAAUCUGCCUAUUAGUGGGGGACAACAUUCCGAAAGGAAUGCUAAUACCGCAUACGUCCUACGGGAGAAAGCAGGGGAUCUUCGGACCUUGCGCUAAUAGAUGAGCCUAAGUCGGAUUAGCUAGUUGGUGGGGUAAAGGCCUACCAAGGCGACGAUCUGUAGCGGGUCUGAGAGGACGAUCCGCCACACUGGGACUGAAACACGGCCCAGACUCCUACGGGAGGCAGCAGUGGGGAAUAUUGGACAAUGGGGGGAAUCCUGAUCCAGCCAUGCCGCGUGUGUGAAGAAGGCCUUAUGGUUGUAAAGCACUUUAAGCGAGGAGGAGGCUACUGAGACUAAUACUCUUGGAUAGUGGACGUUACUCGCAGAAUAAGCACCGGCUAACUCUGUGCCAGCCGCCGCAGUAACAC